UACGUAGGUGGCGAGCGUUGUCCGGAUUUACUGGGCGUAAAGGGCUUGUAGGCGGUUCGUUAAGUCUGGUGUGAAAUCUCCCGGCUCAACUGGGAGAGGUCAUUGGAAACUGGCGGACUAGAGACGGGUAGAGGAAAGCAGAAUUCCCGGUGUAGCGGUGAAAUGCGUAGAUAUCGAGAGGAACACCUGCGGCGAAGGCGGGUUGCUGGGCUGACACUGACGCUGAGGCGCGAAAGCUAGGGGAGCGAACGGG
rnacentral:rRNA from 1 species